UAUUUUGCUUAUUAUGAGUUUAAUGAGCUUCACCUGGCUGGCCUGGGAAUUAACCACUGUUUGUAACAACAUUUCUGUGGGAAAAUGUGUUUCAAGUUUCAAACACUUGACUUAAAUGUAAACUUUUGGAAAAUACUUGGUUCUCAAGUUGGAAAAUAUAUUAAUGAGCAUUUAGUUUCUAAAAAGAAAUAGAUUAUCCCCAAGCUCAUCAAGCAAAACCCAAAUACUUCCAGAUAUUCUGCUACCAAGACAGGUUAACAUACAUAUCAGAUUUAUGUGGAAAGAAGGCAAGAUAGUCACAUUAAAUUAAAGGCGUUGAAAUUUCCAUCAUGCUGGUGCUUCGUUUUUAAAAGUACUUAAGCAGAAUUAUCUUUUCAAAUAAGUUUUUUCAAAUAUUUAUUUAUUUACUUACUUAUUCAUUUAUUUAUUUAUUUUUUAUUAUUUUUAAAUUUUUGGCUGCAUUGGGUCUUUGUUGCUGCGUGUGGGCUUUCUCUAGUUGCGGCGAGUGGGGGCUACUCUUUGUUGUGGUGCGUGGGCUUCUCAUUGCAGUGGCUUCUCUUGUUGCGGAGCACGGUCUCUAGGUGUGCAAGCUUCAGUAGUUGUGGCACGCGGGCUCAGUAGUUGUGGCACGCGGGCUUAGCUGCUCCACGGCAUGUGGGAUCUUCCCGGACCAGGGAUCGAACCCAUGUCCCCUGCCUUGGCAGGCAGAUUCUUAACCACUGUGCCACCAGGGAAGUCCCUCAAAUAAUUUAAAAAAUUUAUUUUGUACUUUAGAUUUUAAAAAAUAAACUUUGUUUCUUUCAAGUUUUAGAUUUAUAGAAAAAUUGCAAAGAUAGUACAGAAAGUUCCCAUAUACCCCACACCAUUUCCCCUGUUAACAUCUUAUGGUACAUUUGUUAUAAUUGAUGAACCACUAUUGAUACAUUAGGUUUCCUCGGUUUAUACCUAAUAUAUUUUUCUGUUCCAGGAUCCCAUCUAGGACAUGAUAUUACAUUUAGUCAUCAUGUCUCCUUGAGCUUCUCUUGUCUGCGACAGUUUCUCAGACUUCCCUUAGUUUUGUUGACCUUGGCAGUUUUGAGGAGUACUCAAACUGGUCAGCUUCUUCAACGAGUUCAGGGUGGUUGUACCAACUCCUGGCUUCACACACAAACUCCACUAGAAGGGAUGCUUUAA
rnacentral:lncRNA from 1 species